UGCCAGCAGCCGCGGUAAAACGGAGGGUGCGAGCGUUAAUCGGAAUUACUGGGCGUAAAGCGUACGUAGGCGGAUUAGUAAGUUAGGGGUGAAAUCCCAGGGCUCAACCCUGGAACUGCCUUUAAUACUGCUAGUCUUGAGUUCGAGAGAGGUGAGUGGAAUUCCAAGUGUAGAGGUGAAAUUCGUAGAUAUUUGGAGGAACACCAGUGGCGAAGGCGGCUCACUGGCUCGAUACUGACGCUGAGGUGCGAAAGCGUGGGGAGCAAACAGGAUUAGAUA
rnacentral:rRNA from 1 species